AAUUUUAAUUUUAUAUAUAUUAAUUUUUUCGAUGAAAUGAUGUAAAUUUAAGCUUGUGUUGUAAGUUGUAACACUUUUGACGUUGCUAAUUGCACUUCACUACUUAAUCAUGUGUGAUUUUAGCUAGGUUAAGAAAAUAUUAUUUCUUCGUUGCGGGAGGUUGAAGACGUUAUCAUUCUUAUUGGAGAGAUAGGUGGGACUGCAGAAGAGGAUGCUGCUGCAUUGAUAAAGGAACGUAGAACUGAGAAGCCUAUUGUUGCUUUUAUUGCUGGACUAACUGCUCCUCCUGGCCGUCGUAUGGGUCAUGCUGGAGCUAUUGUGUCAGGGGGGAAGGUUACAGCACAAGACAAAAUGAAGACCCUUAGGGAAGCUGGGGUGACAGUGGUGGAGUCUCCAGCAAAAAUAGGGGUUGCGAUGCUUGACGUCUUCAAACAGAGGGGCCUUGUAAAUUAGCUUGGACAAGAGCUGUUCAUUUGAAGUCACCUGCCUAUAAUGUUUUAUGGCAAGAUGCCCAAAACAACAUGAUAUUCUCCAAUUCUUCACUGAUUAUAACUGUGGUAGAGCAUUUGAGCGCUCAGAAUUUUCCCUGCCGUUUGCCACAUUGGGUGGUGUUUGGGGAUCCA